rnacentral:lncRNA from 10 species
UUGAGUUAAAUAGUCUGAGUUUCUUCAGCUUCGAAAAUGUUAAAAUAGGCUGUGCAUGGUGGCUCACGCCUGUAAUCCCAGCACUUUGGAAGGCUGAGGAAGGAGGAUCGCUUGAGCCCAGGAGUUCCAGACCAGCCUCGGCAACAUGCACUUCCUGCCAUCUGAAAUGCUGCUGUUUUACUUUGAUUGCCUCUCUCCUCUGAAAGACUGGAAGUUCUUCGAGGGCAGUGAUUUUCUUGCAAGGCUAAAUCCUCAGUACCUGAAACAUGCUUCACACUUGCAAUCAAAGCAUAUGGACUAUAUUUUAAUUCUACAGACAUUGCGUUAGGCAGAACAGCUACCAACACCCAAUCCCUGAAAUUUGUGAUUAUGUUUUGAUACAUGGCAAAAGGAACUAUGCAGAUGUAAUUAAGGUUAAGAACUUUAAAAUAGGAAGAUUAAAUCCAAGGAGUUCUUCAAAGUAAAGAACUACUACAUGCAGAAGAUUGGGAAGAAAUAACAGAGAGUGCUUGAAGAAUAGAUGUGGCUAGGACAAUAUCUCUGAAUCUCUGAAUGGCCCAUGGUGGUGACCCCCAGCCAGAGUGAACUGUGCAGCAGCAAUGGUGCCCAGUGGGCAGCAACAGUGGAACAGAAGGUGAGGAAGGGGCCAGAAGGAAUCCUUUAGGAAAUUAAGAAAAGGAUAAAAAUAUGAUAAAAAUGUGGUGUCCAGGCGAGAAACGGAAUAACCUCAUCCCUGUUCUGACUAACAAUUUGGUAAUAUUUUGACAGUUUUGAACAAGAACUUCCUUCUCCUUUUCUUUUGGAGUACACCAUAGUGAAAGACCUAUGGUAAAAAACAAGGUACAACUGGAAUACUGCUUUUUGUUUUUCUAUUUUCAAUAGUAUCUCCUGUUUAUAAUGGAUUGUUUUAAUCUCAGGGAAGAACAUCUGAGGAGAUCACCGGGUCUCUAAAUACCAGUUCUUGUCUCUGCACACCUUUUUUAGGGGGGACUGAUGCCUGGUUAUAUCUGCGGUACACCAGUUCCUAAAGCAAUACCUAAGAAAGUCAAUGUUUCCUAGAUAAACUUGACUUUCAUCAAAUGAUAUUUAGAAUCAGUUUUAAACUUGUAGAGUAUUGCAAUCAAUUAUGAUCAUAUUUUGCAGCAUAUAUCAUGAAGUCCAAAUCAUUUUAGCUUAAAGAAAACAGACGUCUAUUAUUUUUUCACUUAGAGUAAGUCAGGAAGUGUGUAGUCUUAUGUGUUGGCUUUCCAGUGUCAUCAGGGGCCCAGAUUCCUGUCUUUCUGCUCUGCCAUCUCCAAUGUGUGGUUUCUAACCUCAUGAUCCAAAGUGGGUUCUUUUGCUCCAGCCCGCGUAUCAAUGUACCAGGCCAGUAGAAUGAAGAAACUAAGGAGAGCAAAAGGAGGCUCCUUCCUAACUGAGUCAACUUUCUUUAAGCAUUUGUCCUGAAGGUCUCACACAAUAUUUUUGCAUACGUCUCACAGGUCAAAACUUAGUUAUGUGUCCACACAAAAUUUCAGAAGAGGCUGGAAGGUGUUGUCUUUUAGCUGAAUGCAUUAUCAUCCUGGAAUUCAAAUCUGGGUUCUAAUAGUAAGCGAGAAAGAGAGCGUGGUUAUUAAGUGGUGUCAUUUGGCACAGCCUGUCAACAGAGGACAUGUUAAUUGGCAUUCAUACUGAUGUUUUAAUAAAGCAUGUAGUGUGCUUAUGAGGACCAAGAUUGACCAUACUUUGGUCAUCAUCAAUCAUGGACUGAAAGGCUUUUAAACAUGAGGUAUGUACCGCCUAGCAUUCAGUAACAACCCACUUAGUCAUUCCUACCUUAAUUUUAGGUGCAUGAUACCAAAAUGUUAACAUAUUUGAGAAACAGUCCAAGCUAAUUUAAUUUACGUAAGUACAUUUUUAGAUAAGACAAUGAUAAAUUUGAAAAUCAGUUUGGUUUAAUGAUUGGUUAGUUAAAAAUAUAUCAAAUAAAUAACUUUUUCUACCUUAGCAUUUUUAAAAUUCUGGACCUAAAAUUAUUACAUUCUAUUUAGGGCAAGGAUUAGCAAAAUACAGCUUACAGGCCAAGUUUGUCUUGACUUCCUUUUUUGUAAAUAAAGUUUUUUUGAAACACAGUUACUCUCAUAUGGUUACAUAUUGUCAGUGGCUGCUUUCACUCUAUAUCGGCAGAACCGAGUAAUUGUAUUAGAUACCCCCACCACUAAACCCAAUGUGUUUACUAUCUGGAUUCAUACAGACAAUGUUUGCUGACCCCUGGCAUAGGCAAAGCAAAAUACAUGACACAAUGAAUUUCCCUCAUACUUAGAAGUUAGGGCCCACAGAACUCACCUGAAAAGUUGCUUAAUAGUUACUUAAUUAUAUAGCAGAUUAAUCAGUUUUUAACUUGAUUCUGACGUUCCUAAAGAAUGGCAAAUUCCUUCCUAACACAAACUAAACCUUUACCUCCGUGGUUCUCAACUGGGGUCAAUUGUGUCUGCCAGAGACAUCUGGUAAUAUGUAGAGACCUUUUUAGUUGUCACAAGUUGGGGUUGGGAGGUGGCUGCCACUGGCAUUUGAUAGGCAGAGGCCAGGGGUGCUGCCAAACGUCCUACAAUGCACAGGACCGCCACUCAACACAAGGAACUAUCUGGCACAAAAGUCACUAGUGCUAAGACUGAGAAACUCCAUGGUAAGUGAGAACUCCCUAGGACCGAAUAGGUAGUUGUCAAUAACAAAAAGGAGGAAUUACUUUCCUUAAAGGUAAAAAUAAUUGUGGCAUUCGGUAAAAAUAAUUGUGGCAUUCUUUCUUGGUGGUGGAGGUUUUGCUGUACUCCUUCCUUGUUUUUAUUCUCCGAAUGAAAACACCAUUUUUAUCUGAAUUAGUAGCUCAAAGUUUUCCAUUAAUCACCUCAAACGGACUGACACAGUGUUUCACACACAAUGUCACGCAUGCUGUAUGCUAACUCCUGAGUUUUGUUCUGAGGGAGAAAAAUGAAUUCCAUGGCCAAAAGUACUAGAGGAAGAACACUCAUCAUAUCAUCAUCUGGGAGGUUCACUGUUUACCUCCAGGAUAUUAAUGGCACUCAGAAGACUGGUGGUGAAGAAACCUAGGAACUGUAGAAAUGUAAAACCUGAUGAGGCUGCUAUUUGUAGACUAGGUCCAGGGAAGAUGUACUAGGUCAGAGGAGAAGAUAUCAUGGCAGAAUCUUCUAAACAGUUUUUCAUGGAUGACUUAUUCAUACAUGGUCCUCAGACAUGGUCCUCAGAGUGAAAAAUAAAAGAAUUCCUAAGUAAAUGAAUUUGGAGAUUACUACCUUUUACAGAGUUUAACAAGUUCAAUUAUAGCAAAGGCUUUUAACCCUCUUUUUCUGUGUGUGAUAAAUCCCAUUGGCAGUCGCAGAUCUCUUCUCAAAUUAAUGUGAUCAAAUGCAUAAAGCAAAAUGUAUAGGGUAUCAAAUAAAUUGCAUUGAAGUGUAAUUAACAAAACAAAAAUAAACUGGUGAUAUAUGAAUGUAAGCAUCUCUUUAUUAUCACAUUAAAUAAUAAGAUCUAGCAGUAGGUCUACUAACUACCAUACUUUUAAAGUAGUAGUGAGUACAAAUAAUAUUUCAAGACAGCUGCAAUAACGGUGAUGUGAUAUGAAAACAUCUGUCAUUUUUGUUGGGGACAAAGUCACAAGUACUGCCAAUAUUACUACAGCUUGUUGUCUUCAUUCAAACGGAAGAAAAUGCUAAAUUUCAGUGAAGUGAAAACUAAGGUUUAAACCAUCGUAGAGCCUUUAAAAUGUUAUGUUACUUGUGAGUUUCCAGAAGUAAUGGUUGUGGGACUUGUUUGAACUUAUUUGAACAUAGAAACUUUAAUAUAUUUUGAAAAGAUAAUUUCACAUGCCAUGUGGGAAAUGUUGCCUUGAGCUAGUGCUGUACGCCUGAAAGCUUCUAAUGUAAUGAUGCAGUAUUGCAUUUAUAAUCAUUGUUUUAAGCUAGCGUUUUCAAAUCCAGUUCAGCUCCAUGAUAACAGCUGUUGUUUUCUUUACCGAUGUAUUUCACUUUCAGAUAUGAUUUUUUAAAAAUUUCUUUGAACUUCAUACUUUUCUUAGCAAAUAUCUCCAUUUAAAUUCUCAGAAUGAAAAUAAAAAUGAGUUGUCUCACACCUCUACACUUAGAAAAUCUAGGCUGCCUGUGGCCCUUUGCCCUAACACGUGACUCCUGUAUCAUGUAUGUAUAACUCCCUUCUAAUUAAGCAACCUCAUUCAUCAAGAAAGCCCUGCAGCGAUAAGGUAAUUUUUGCCACAGGAAUGUGACACUACCAUGUGCCAGUUGCUGAAAUAGUUGCACAGAUUUUAGUGAAAUGCAAGAGAUAAGUGAGUAAGAAAGUGAAAAUUGUCAGCCCAUAAAUUACUGCUGCCCUCAGUCUACAGUAAUUACAGCAAAGCUGUAGAUAACUGUCCCUCUGAUGAACUCUAGCAAAAUGGUCUUUUAAGUUUAUCAGCAUAUUCAGGUACAACUCUCUCAGGAGGCUUGGCCUCUUCUAAAUGAUCAAAUAUUCUGAGGGUGGGUGGCAGAAGGACAAAAGAUGAGGAAAAAGGAAAGAGAAACAUUAUUUACAUCAAUUAAAGUAAUUUUUAAGUUUAUUCUUUUAAAAUUAUCUAGUAGAAGCCUUCUUUCUCACUUAUGAUUCCUUUAAAUGACACUUGCUAUUUUAAUGACUAUUAAAAUAGUCAUUAAAAUAUUAAGUACUAAAUGGUACUUGCUAUUUUUAUUAAUGGAUGCCGAAAGCAGUCAGGGAGCUAAUUAUUAUAUUGUGAAAGUAAAAAUAUAUAUGAGGCUCAUGUAAAACAGUUUUGUUUGUUUCUUUUGAUUAUUUAUUUAUUUAUUUAUUUAUUUAUUUAAAGACAGUGUCUUGGCUGGGCGCGGUGGCUCACGCCUGUAAUCCCAGCACUUUGGGAGGCCAAGUUGCGUGGAUCACGAGGUCAGGAGAUCGAGACAAGCCUGGCCAACAUGGUGAAACUCCGUCUCUACUAAAAUUAGCUGGGCGAGGUAGCAUGUGCCUGUAAUCCCACCUACUCAGGAGGCUGAGGCAGGAGAAUUGCUUGAAUCAGGGAGUCGGAGGCUGCAGUCAGCUGAGACGGCACCAUUGCACUCCAGCCUUGUGACAGAGUGAGACUCCAUCUCAAAAAAAAAAAAAAAAAAAAAGACAGGGUCUCAUUCUGUUGCCCAGGCUGGAGUGCAGUGGCAUAAUCUGGGUUCACUGAAGCCUCAAUUUCCUGGGCUAAAGCAAUCCUCCCACCUAAGCCUUCAGAGUAGCUGGGACUAUAGGUCUGUGCCAACAUGCUCAGCUAAUUGUUUUGUUUGUUUUCUGUAGAGACGGGGUCUCACUAUGUUGCCCAUCCUGGUCUUGAACUACUGGGCUUAAGUGAUCUUCCUGACUCAGCCUCCUAAAGUGCUGAGAUUACAGUUGUGAGCCACCAUGCCUAGCCUCAUAAACCACAGUGGAAAGGAGGCCACUUUGUAUUAAAAAUAACAAUAUUUCAUAGGAAAUUCUCUUAAAUUCAUCAAGGGAUCCAGUGGCUGUGCAUAACCUUUUCUAGCUUCAACCCAUCGAACAUGAAUGCCAUGUAAGUUGUUGUUAUAUCUUCACCUUUCUUCCUGCUAUUCAUUUCCCCAUCAAUGACCAUUUUUUUUUUAUUUUCUGAAACUUCAAUCACAUUAAGCUUUUCUUUUUUCUGCCAUAAAACAUGGCUCCCAUACCCCUCAUUGAUUAAGUCUAACUCAAGAUAUUCUAAGGAUGCUAGGUUCAACAGCAUAUUGUUCUCUUCU